rnacentral:misc_RNA from 1 species
CAGUGAAAAAAGGCGUGCAAGACAAAGGCACUUCGGAGUGGACUCAAUCUUCCAGCCAUAGAGCUUGAGUGGUUGUGUCUGGAACUAAUAAGAGAAACAUGUCAUCACAAAAUACCACCACAGACUGGCAGUCAGGGAGAGACUUCGCAGAGACGAACCUGUACAUGCUGGAACACGAGAUCACCUGUGACGUCACGUUUAGAGUUGGGACCGAGCAGACGACAGUUCGUGCCCACAGGUUUAUGUUAAUCAGUCGCAGUCACGUGUUCUCCGCCAUGCUUUGUGGUCCAUUGGCUGAGACUGGUGAGAUUGAAAUCCCGGAUGUUGAUGGUGACAGUUUCAGUUUGUUUCUGAGACAGGAUAGUACACCAGUUGUGAGUCACAAGAUGUAGCGCAAUGGGCCCACCAACGGGAAUCGAUCCUAGACCGACAGCGCAUCAUGCGAAAGCUUUACCACUGGGCUACGGUCCGCCCCACCAGUGUGUUUUGUGCGUGCGUGCGUGCGUGCGUGCGUGCGUGUGUGUGUGUGAUAUGGAAUGGAAAGGAUUCCAUUACAUUUCUUUGACCAAAUAUAUCGUUUCUAGUUCUUUGGAGAUGCUGACACUCCACUAAAAUGUGGCGUACCGUUAGAAAACACUGACAGUGCUCACACUGAGGUGGAGGAUCUUUCUUCAAGAUAUAUGAAUGGGUCAAGUAGGAAUGACCGAUGCGAGCACGACAUAAAACUACACUAUUUCAUCCUUCCUGCACUGCCUUUAGGAGGACUGCCACUCUCCCGGGACUGGCUUGACAGCACGAAGCUUGGUCGCAACCGCACCAUUCCAAUCAUUUCGCCACGUUGAAAAGAUAAAUUGGUUAAUGCUAUGCUAAAAUCAGUAUAUAGCACUCCAACCCUAACAUGAGGCAAAUCCAAAGCAGAUUUGGCAGCUGAAUCUGCUUUUUCAUUACCCCUGAUUUCCUUAUUGACAAUGGAUA